ACGAUACUCCCUCCGUCCGGAAUUACUUGUUGCAGAAAUGGAUGUAUCAAGACUUAUUUUAACUAUAGAUGCAUCCAUUUCUAUCCAUUUCCGUGACAAGGUUUUCGGAUGGUGGGAGUAGUAC
rnacentral:pre_miRNA from 1 species